GACGAACGCUGGCGGCGUGCCUAAUACAUGCAAGUAGAACGCACAGUUUAUACCGUAGCUUGCUACACCAUAGACUGUGAGUUGCGAACGGGUGAGUAACGCGUAGGUAACCUGCCUGGUAGCGGGGGAUAACUAUUGGAAACGAUAGCUAAUACCGCAUAAUAUUGAUUAUUGCAUGAUAAUUGAUUGAAAGAUGCUAUUGCAUCACUACCAGAUGGACCUGCGUUGUAUUAGCUAGUAGGUGAGGUAACGGCUCACCUAGGCGACGAUACAUAGCCGACCUGAGAGGGUGAGCAGCCACACUGGGACGGAGACACGGCCCAGACUCCUACGGGAGGCAGCAGUAGGGAAUCUUCGGCAAUGGACGAAAGUCUGACCGAACAACGCCGCGUGAGUGAAGAAGGUUUUCGGAUCGUAAAGCUCUGUUGUAAGAGAAGAACGGGUGUGAGAGUGGAAAGUUCACACUGUGACGGUAUCUUACCAGAAAGGGACGGCUAACUACGUG
rnacentral:rRNA from 1 species